UGGGGUUUCGACGGCCAGUGAUUAGAGUUUGAUCAUGGCUCAGGACGAACGCUGGCGGCGUGCUUAACACAUGCAAGUCGAACGGGGAAUUUUAUUUCGGUAGAAUUCCUAGUGGCGAACGGGUGAGUAACGCGUAGGCAACCUGCCCUUCAGACGGGGACAACAUUCCGAAAGGGAUGCUAAUACCGGAUACGAAGCUUCUGCCGCAUGACGGAAGCUUGAAAGGUGCUCUCAAGCACCGCUGAAGGAUGGGCCUGCGUCCGAUUAGCUGGUUGGUGGGGUAACGGCUCACCAAGGCGACGAUCGGUAGCCGGUCUGAGAGGAUGAACGGCCACAUUGGGACUGAGACACGGCCCAGACUCCUACGGGAGGCAGCAGUGGGGAAUCUUCCGCAAUGGGCGAAAGCCUGACGGAGCAACGCCGCGUGAGUGAUGAAGUUCUUCGGAACGUAAAACUCUGUUGUUCACGACGAACGGGGGGACCAGGAAAUGGGUUCCCAGUGACGGUAGUGAACGAGGAAGCCACGGCUAACUACGUGCCAGCAGCCGCGGUAAUACGUAGGUGGCAAGCGUUGUCCGGAAUUAUUGGGCGUAAAGCGCAUGUAGGCGGUUCCUUAAGUCGGUCGUGAAAAUGCGGUGCUUAACGCCGUAUGGCGAUCGAAACUGGGGGACUUGAGUGCAGGAGAGGAAAGGGGAACUCCCAGUGUAGCGGUGAAAUGCGUAGAUAUUGGGAAGAACACCGGUGGCGAAGGCGCCUUUCUGGACUGUGUCUGACGCUGAGAUGCGAAAGCCAGGGUAGCGAACGGGAUUAGAUACCCCGGUAGUCCUGGCCGUAAACGAUGGGUACUAGGUGUGGGAGGUAUCGACCCCUUCCGUGCCGGAGUUAACGCAAUAAGUACCCCGCCUGGGGAGUACGGCCGCAAGGCUUAAACUCAAAGGAAUUGACGGGGCCCGCACAAGCGGUGGGAGUUAUGUGGUUUAAUUCGACGCACGCGAGACCUUACCAAGGCUUGACAUUGAGUGAAAGACCUGGAGACAGGUCCCCUCCUUCGAAGCCGAAAACAGGUGGUGCAUGCUGUUCGUUCAGCCUCUGUUCUUGGAAUGUUGGGUAAGUUCCGCACAAGGCCACCCCUAUCUAUGUUUGCUCGCAUAAGUUGGAUCUAGACUGCUCAGGGACUGACGUAAUCAGGUCUAUGCCUAGCUGGUUGCACGUAACUAAAA
rnacentral:rRNA from 1 species